rnacentral:rRNA from 1 species
UGGCGCACGGGUGCGUAACGCGUAACCAACCUACCCACAACUGGGGGAUAGCCCGCCGAAAGGCGGAUUAAUACCGCAUAAACUAAGGACACGGCAUCGUGGUUUUAGUAAAGAUUUAUUGGUUGUGGAUGGGGUUGCGUAGCAUUAGCUAGAUGGCGGGGUAACGGCCCACCAUGGCGACGAUGCUUAGGGGACCUGAGAGGGUGAUCCCCCACACUGGCACUGAGAUACGGGCCAGACUCCUACGGGAGGCAGCAGUAGGGAAUAUUGGGCAAUGGGCGAGAGCCUGACCCAGCCAUGCCGCGUGCCGGAUGAAGGCCUUCUGGGUUGUAAACGGCUUUUCUCAGGGAAGAAAAAGGGGAUGCGUCCCACACUGACGGUACCUGAGGAAUAAGCACCGGCUAACUCCGUGCCAGCAGCCGCGGUAAUACGGAGGGUGCAAGCGUUGUCCGGAUUUAUUGGGUUUAAAGGGUGCGUAGGUGGCCCGUUAAGUCCGGGGUGAAAGCCCACAGCUCAACUGUGGAACUGCCCUGGAUAC